GAAAGAAUGUUCUCUACAUUGCUCCAUUACAGGAGGAACUAGACACUCAGCCACUGCCACCAGAUUCUAGGUCCUUCUUCAAUAUGCCAAAGGCCAUGUGCCACUCCUGUCAUGCCAGCUAUCCACUACAAAUACUGGCUCUACAUGUUGAAAAAUGUCAGCCUUCAGAAACGAAUGCAAUAGAGAUCAGUGAUGAUGACUUGGAUGCCACACACUAUGCCAGAAGCUGAAGACAAUCAGUUCGACUCAAAACUUGAGCCUACAGAUGGAAAUAUGGAAACAGCAGAGAUCAUGUGUCCUAUAUGUGGUAUGACAUUUCCUUAAGGCAUGAUUGAC